rnacentral:rRNA from 1 species
GUGUCAGCAGCCGCGGUAAUACGGAAGGUGCGAGCGUUAAUCGGAAUUACUGGGCGUAAAGCGCACGUAGGCGGCUUUUUAAGUCGGAUGUGAAAGCCCUGGGCUUAACCUGGGAAUUGCAUCCGAUACUGAAAGGCUAGAGUACGGUAGAGGGGGGUGGAAUUCCAGGUGUAGCGGUGAAAUGCGUAGAGAUCUGGAGGAACACCGGUGGCGAAGGCGGCCCCCUGGACUGAUACUGACGCUGAGGUGCGAAAGCGUGGGGAGCAAACAGGAUUAGAUACCCCUGUAGUCC